CUAUUUUUGAAUGGAAGUGGCUGUGGGAGCUCUGCAAUGUGCUGCCACUGCUGCUGUCACCGUGCGUGAAGCGAGCUCGGAGCACACCUACGGAGCCGGGCCACUUGGCAAAUUGAGCACGACACACUGCUUUGCAUCCCAGAUGGACUAGGUGGGGAGGAUGUGCACUUCAUUCAGCUGAGAAGGUGACAUAUUUGAUGUGUGCAGAGACACACCAAGUUAGAAAACUUAGAUGCCUUAGACAUGAUGACAAACUUCAGCCCAGAAUCAGUGCCUGUAAUAAGACAAUGAUGUCACCAGCUCUACAGACUAUUGUGGAAGAGGGAGUGGAGAUAUGAUGUGAAUAAAAACAGCUGUAAGAGAACAGGAUUUACCGAAGUGUUUUGAUUUUAAGUUUUUAACUGAAAAUGGAAGAUUUGGAAAGCACCACCUAGAUCAUCUCUGUCUUCCAAAGACAUUCUACAUUGUCAUCCACUGAAGAAAUGAUAAGGAACAGUGAUCAAAAAUGCCUAAAACAGAACAAUAUCUCUUGUUGCAUUUCUUGCUGAUAAAGACUGAGUGAUGUUAAGGAACAUUCUUUAAUUUGAAGGUACAGGCUGAAGUCUAAAGAAAUUGUGCUAAAGUGAGCCAUGCCUCAGCUUCUCUUUCAGAUGCUGUUUCUGCUGCCACAAUGUGAGUGUACUCCUGGUUGAUGACAGUUUGCAGGGACUUCCUGCUGCUUAGCCAGUGGAUGAGACUUGUUAACACAGCUGUUUCUCAGAAAAACUCUGAGGAUGAGUUGCAACCCAUGAAAUAUACACUGAACAGUCAUAUAAUGUUUCACCCACUACUGAAUAUUCAUCUGGAAUCUAAAUAUUGAAGGACUGAUUUACUUUUGUUCGUAAUUGAAGAAGAAAAAUAUUGCAGGGGUCAGGGGUUGAUAAAUCAUCUGAUAGGAGUCACCACGGUUUUCUGACUGUGCACUUGACCACAUCUAAAGUGCAGAAAUUAGGCACAAGAAUGUUUUAGCAUAAACAAGACCCUACAGUGUGGGAGCCACGUGGAGCUGCCAAACCCAUCUCCUUCUCCUGACCUUAAAAGGAUGUCAAGAACUUCAAAUAGAUGAGAUGUUGCUGCAGCCUUUUCAGCAAGAGAACUGGCUUCAUAUGCCCCCCAAGGGCAGAAUGUUUUAUUCACAAUUGGAUAAAGGUGUUAUGAAGCCCCGAAAUUCACUGGGAGGUAGAAAUUUUAAAUCCUUUAUUCUUUACCUUCAGACCAUGCAGUUUCUCAUACUGCACAGGUCCAGCAGGAUCCAGACAAGUUUACUGAGUCCUUUAUGUUGAGGUUAAUGUCUUCAUUUGAUUGUGUAUGCCAAAAAAAAGAUCGUGGGCAGCUAACUGAAGCAGAUGAUUCUGUUAAUAUUACACAGCAGUGCCUUCUGAAUGGUUAACGGUCAGAAGCUGCCACCUUAAAAUUAUUGUUGAAUGACAUCACUGAAGACUUAUCAAAAGCCACUUCUUAAGUGGUAGCCAAGGUCAAGUGGAUAAUGACUUUGGAAGUGCCUGUGACAGCCCAUGGCAAUUCAAAUGACACUUGUCUCUGCAACUGGUCUAUGUUCUUUGCACAAAUUGUACCAAGCCUGGCUUUCUCUCAGACAACAGAGGCAGCUGACAGAAACCUCAGUGACCAUAGAGUCUUGUUGCCUCUGCCAGCCUCAGAGACUGAAAUAAAACCCUGAACUCCAGCCCCCAUUUGUACCCCACUGAAUGUUCUUCUGCCAUGGAAAGAAACAGCCAGAGCACUGUCUUGUGUUACCUCAAAAAUCCCUUAGUGCAGAACAAAAUACUGCCAAUGCUACUGCAUAUUCUGAAUCCAAUGUCUAGGUGUUGUUGAAAAGAGUAGAUAAUCCCACAUGUAAAACCAAGUUAGGUCAUCAUGAUCGUUAUCACCCUCCAUUGAAUACCAGAGGAAUAAGUAAUGAGCAGGCACUUGUUGCAAAGUGUUAGGGAGACAUGUCUUUUAUUCUUUAUGUGCAAUAAAAGAUGUGACUGGAAUGCAAGACAACAUUGGUUUGAUUCCUUGCACCUGGAGUUUGGGAGUUGUUUGUAUCAGUCUCCUUUUCAUGUCAAAUGUGGGUCUCCUCAUCCAGUUUCUUAAUUUUUACAAUGUGUGUUUUUUCACUUUUUAUUUAGUUAUGUCAUAGGUGAAGGUAUUUGAAGUAAUAUCUCAUUCCUUUUGUGAUUUAUUUACACAUGGCACGCUUACACCAUAGCUGUAAUUGUCUGGAGAAUAAUCAUUCAGUGCAUGAAAACUCUCAGUGUAUGGCAUUUGUUUUCAUUCUGCAGGGGAUCUAAACCAAAACAAUCCCAAAACUUG